UUUAAAUCGGGAAGGGUCGCAACGGCGCUCUUCCUUGUGGUUGGCGCCUUAUCACAGUGACCUGUUGCGCUCUGUCCUCUUCUACCUACCUGGUCGGUCUGAUUUACCCCUUGGAGCAAUCAGUGGAUCAGUUCCUGUUGGCUGGCUGUACAGGGAAAGGGCUAAGGCCAGCAGCCGUCCGGAGACGAAGCUGGACGACCUUGCAUCCUCUGCUCUGCUGCUUGUCACAACAGAUGAGAGACGCGGAAGGGAGGGAUGUGGCUGGAUGACAUAACAGAACACCAGAGCUUAAGAGAGAGUGUGUUAGAGAGAAGAAAUAAACUGUGUAAGCUGCCAGCA
rnacentral:lncRNA from 1 species